GGGGGGGUGUAGAUGGGGAAUGGAACUAUCAGAUGGUACCAAAACGGCGGAUUGCGGCUAGACUUAGCAAGUUCGUGUAGACCGUAAGGAACGGGACAUGUGAAGGAGGUGACAGUCUCAGGACGGGAUGCGGCCCGGGAUACUCCCGGAAGGAGCUUCUCGCCUUACUGGCAGCGGCGGCCGGCGGCGGCAGGGAUCAGCUCAAGCUCGUCUGGUUUCUCUCCCUCUCUUAUGCGUAUAGACGCGAGGGGCGGGAUCAGCUUGCAAAUCCGUUCCCGGAAGGGCUGCGGGCGCGGCGGUGCGCGGUGAGUUGGGAGCGCGGUGCGCGGAUCAGCCCCGCUUACCCCACCACCGCAGAGAUGCGGGGUGCCGACAUUUACCUACCACACAGAAAAAAAAUGAUAAGCUGUACCAGGUGGCUGAUUCACGCCACGCACUUUCGCAUGUAGACUGCACCGCAUGCACGAACUGGCGCGGGCGGGUUUGCCUAUGCUCGCUGCCCACGGCUCCUUACGGCCCCGUGAGAGUAGGCAACCCGCCCGCACGCGUGCAUGCGGUACAGUAUAACCACGGAAGUGCGCGGCGGGAAUCAGCCACCUGGUAUAGCUACACCGAUACUGUAGCUAAAUAUGGGGUAACUGAUUAUUUAGCUAGAUAUAGCUAAAACUUUA